rnacentral:piRNA from 1 species
UCCUCUGGAAGGGUAGCAAGUGCUCUUGAU